rnacentral:tRNA from 1 species
GCGCCCAUAGCUUAACUGGAUAGAGCAUUUGACUACGAAUCAAAAGGUUAGGGGUUCAACUCCUCUUGGGCGCG